GUGAAGUUCCCAGCAUCCAGUCAAGGUUAUUGGGAUCCAGAGAUGGAGCGUUGGCAGCCGCUUCAGUGUCAGUUGUCUGGCGUUAGAUGAUUUUUCUCUCAGCCACAUUCUACCCGCUACCUUUGAGAUAUAGCAACAUCAUGAAGGACCAGAGGGAUAAAAAAGGGACAACUGCGAGGCAUAUUCAGAGAACCCAGUGGAGUCGAAUGUUCAUCUUACUGAACCAGCCAAUGACAGCUCCCAUCUCUCUCCAGGCAUCACAGAAGCAGCCCGUGUGAUAGACUGUGCACUGGAUGCGUGCGUGUCCUCAUGUGUCAUAUACUGUUCAUCAUAGAGUCAAGACUGUAAGGAGACAGACUUCUAAAGAUCUCAUCUCUGCUUCCACUACUUUUUUGAAAAAAAUUUUUAUUUUACAUUGGAGUAUAGCUGAUUAAAUUUCCUUGGAAGAAAAGCUAUGAUCAACCUAGACAGCAUAUUAGAAAGCAGAGACAUUACUUUGCCAACAAAGGUCCAUAUAGUCAAAGCUAUGGUUUUUCCAGUGGUCAUGUAUGGAUGUGAGAGUUGGACUAUAAAGAAAGCUGAGUGCUGAAGAACUGAUGCUUUUGAACUGUGGUGUUGGAGAAGACUCUUGAGAGUCCCUUGGACUGCAAGAUCAAACCAGUCAAUCUUAAAAGAAAUCAGUCCUG
rnacentral:lncRNA from 1 species